rnacentral:rRNA from 1 species
CGGAGGUGCAAGCGUUGUCCGGAUUUAUUGGGUUUAAAGGGUGCGCAGGUGGGUAUUUAAGUCUGGUUUGAAAGCAGGUGGCUCAACCAUCUGAUGUGGCUGGAAACUGGAUAUCUUGAAUGGGUUGGCGGUAGCCGGAAUGGGUCAUGUAGCGGUGAAAUGCAUAGAUAUGACCCGGAACACCGAUUGCGAAGGCAGGCUACUACGACUUGAUUGACACUGAGGCACGAGAGCAUGGGUAGCGAACAGGAUU